ensembl:lncRNA
ACUUCUGCAGAAACUACUACCCUGGGCAAAACCUCUGCAGAAACUACCCUGGGCACAACUUCUGGAGAAAUGACUACCCUUGGCUCUACUUCUGUUAAAUCUACCACUCUGGGUACCACUUCUGCAGAGACUACUACCUUUGAAACCACUUCUGCAAGACCCAGUUCUGGAGAAACUACUGCCCUGGGCAUUACUUCUAUAAAAACAACUAAACUGGAAACCGUUUCUGCAGCACCCACUUCUCCAGGAACUACUAUCCUUGGCAUUACUACUGUAGAAUCUUCAACUCUGGACAGCACUUCUGCAAAAACUAUUACCCUUGGAACCUUUUCUGUGCAAACUACUACCCUUGAAACCACGUCUGUAGAAACUACUACCUUUGAAACCACUUCUGCAGAAACUACUACCAUUGGCACCAGUUCUGUAGAAAGUAGUACCCAUGGCACCACCUCUGUAGAAACUACUAUCCUGGGCACUACUUCUACAGGAACCACUUCAGAAGAAACUACCAUCUUUGGAGACACUUCUGUUGAAACUACUACCCUGGAAUUCACUUCUACAGAAACUACUGCCUUUGAAACAACUUCUGUAGAAACUAUUAGCCUGGAUACAACUUCUGCUGAAAUUACUACCACUCUGGGGGCCACUUCUGCAGAAACUACUACUCUGGGGACCACUUUUGCAGGACCGAUUUCUCCUGAAAGUACUACCCUUGGCACCACUUCUGCAGAAACUAGUACCCUUGGUACCAUUUCUGUAGAAACUACUACCUUGGGCAUACCCACUGCAGAAACUAGUACCCUUGGAACCACUUCUGUAGAAACUACUACUUUGGGCACAAGUUCUGGUGAAACUACUUUCCUUGGCACCAUUUUUUUAGAAACUACUUCCCUUGAAACCACUUCUGCAGAAACUACCCUGGGCAUUACUUCUGUUGAAUCUACCACUCUGGGCACCACUUCUGUAGAAACUACUACACUAGGCACAACUUCCGCAGGACUCAUGUUUGCAGAAAGUACUUCCCUUGGCAUAACUUUUACAGGAACUGCUACGCUUGGCACCACUUCUGUAAAAUCUACAACUCUGGGCACCACUCCUGCAGAAACUACUGCCUUUGGCACAAUUUCUGCCGAAAUUACAACCCUGGCCACAGCUUCCGUAGAAACUACUACCCUAGCAACCACUUCUGCAGGACCCACUUCUACAGAAACUACUGUCCUUGGUACCACUUCUGUUGAGUUUACUCUCUUGGAAACCACUUCUGCAGGACCCACUUAUUCAGAAUCUAGUAUCCUUGGCACCACUUCUGUAGAAACUAGUACCCUUGAAACCACUUUUGCAGAAAGUACUACCCUGGAAACCACUUCUGUAGAAACUACUACCAUUGGCAGCACUUCUGAAGAAACUACUACUCUUGACUCAACUUCUGCAAAAACUACAACCCCAGUUAGUUCAACAGGAAUAACUACACCUGGCAUAACAUCUGCUGUUAAUAGGACAACAUCUCAAACUGCCACUUGGCACCACUAUUGCAGAAACCACUAUCAUUGGCACCACUUGUGUGAAAAGAACAACUAUGACCGAUACCGAUUCCUUAGAAUGUACCACCACUUGUACACACACUACCCUGCAGAAACUACUUCUGUAGAAACUACUACCCUUGGCACAACUCCUGCAGAAACUACUACCCUUGGCACAACUCCUGCAGAAACUAAUACACCGGGCAUCACAUCUCAAACUGCCACUUGGCACCACCACUGCAGAAACCACUAUCAUUGGCACCACUUGUGUGAAAAAAACUAUGAUAGAUACCGAUUCCUUAGAAUGUACUACCACUUGUACACACACUACCCUCUAGAAACUACUUCUGUAGAAACUACUACCCUUGGCACAACUCCUGCAGAAACUACUACCCUUGGCACAACUCCUGCAGAAACUACUACUCCGGGCACAAUGUCUCAAACUGCCACUUGGCACCACCACUGCAGAAACCAUUAUCAUUGGCACCACUUG